rfam:Lingula anatina scaffold126, whole genome shotgun sequence.
CCACAUAAACCCGUAGAUCCGAACUUGUGCCCAUUUAUGGUCAAUCACAAGCUCGUCUCUAGGGGUCAGUGUUGU